UACGUAGGGGCCUAGCGUUGUCCGGAAUUAUUGGGCGUAAAGAGCUCGUAGGCGGUCUGUUACGUCCGCUGUGAAAACCCAGGGCUUAACCCUGGGCUUGCAGUGGAUACGGGCAGACUAGAGGGAGGUAGGGGAGAAUGGAAUUCCCGGUGUAGCGGUGAAAUGCGCAGAUAUCGGGAGGAACACCGGUGGCGAAGGCGGUUCUCUGGGCCUGACCUGACGCUGAGGAGCGAAAGCGUGGGGAGCGAACAGG
rnacentral:rRNA from 1 species